AUUGAACGCUGGCGGCAGGCUUAACACAUGCAAGUCGAGCGAGCGGCGGACGGGUGAGUAAUGUCUGGGACACUGCCUGAUGGAGGGGGAUAACUACUGGACACGGUAGCUAAUACCGCAUACCAUCGGAUGUGCCCAGAUGGGAUUAGCUAGUGGGUGGGGUAAUGGCUCACCUAGGCGACUAUCCCUAGCUGGUCUGAGAGGAUGACCAGACACACUGGAACUGAGACACUGUCCAGACUCCUACGGUAGGCAGCAGUGGGGAAUAUUGCACAAUGGGCGCAAGCCUGAUGCAGCCAUGCCGCGUGUGUGAAGAAGGCCUUCGGAUUGUAAAGUACUGUCAGUGAGGAGGCGUUACUCGCAGAAGAAGCACCGGCUAACUCCGUGCCAGCAGCCGCGGUAAUUC
rnacentral:rRNA from 1 species